UAUGUGAAAACUUUAUUCCAGGAUUGGUCUCAAUCAGAAAUAUGUAACAUUUUCAGAAGGAAUAACUGUUCAAUGCUGUUGUCUAUUCAGUAUUUUUGUUGCUCUGCAAGGAACCAUCAAGCAUUGGGCUUGGUGAGAGACUGCUGUAUACUCACUAAACUCUACUCUCAGUUUAGCAGAUCUGAAAUCAAUCAAAUCAACUGGAUAUUCAGUGUUUUUAACAGGGAAUAGCUAAUAAUACUUUGAGUGUAAUGUCAACUUAAAGCAGAACACAAAUUUCAACAAAAUUUGAGCCACGAAUCACCUCAUCACGCUCUUAAAUGUCCUCGCCGAGAGCUCCAGUAUCUUGUGGUGUGCAGCUACAUCCAGCUGCGACGUUAGUGGAGAUGAUAUUUUCUGGUAUGCCGGUCGCAGGAUUCCUAAUGGAAACCUGUAGAUUCGUCAUCAGCUGUUUGCAACUGCGUCCUGUCCCGCAAUUUUCAUUUUUGC